UACGAGGGGGGCGAGCGUUAUUCGGAAUCACUGGGCGUAAAGCGUGCGUAGGCUGUUUUGUAAGUUGGGAGUGAAAGCCCAGGGCUUAACCCUGGAAUUGCUCUCAAAACUACAAGACUCGGAUUCGGGAGAGGAUAGCGGAAUUGUCAGUGUAGCAGUGAAAUGCGUAGAUAUUGACAGGAACACCAGUGGCGCAAGCGGCUAUCUGGACCGACAUCGACGCUGAGGCACGAAAGCGUGGGGAUCAAAC
rnacentral:rRNA from 1 species